rnacentral:lncRNA from 1 species
CCUGAAGCAGUGCAGAAAGAGAGCAGCUGCCCGAAUUGAGCUGAGAAGCGGUGUUUCCUGGUAGGCCUUUGAGAACGGGCAAGAAAGUAACAGCUAGGUAAUCAAGGGACGUUCGAAGGACUUGAUGUAAGGACGCUUUUAUUUGAAAUUGAUUGCAGCAAAUGACAAAGUACCAAUGUAGCCUGAAGAAAGGCUGAUGGAGGAGACAGAGGAACGGGUAGCUGUGGAAGAAUGGUGACUGUGCAGUGCAGCUGGAAAUGUAGCAAGGAGAGAAAAACAUACAGGAGACUGCAUCUCAGAUAGCGAAGAAAGGUAUUUUCAGGCAGAACUUGAUAUCAUUCCCCACCACCUCCUUUCAGGAGCUGUAGAGAGCAAUGAUGUCUCUCCUGAGCCUCCUCUUCUCCACACUGAACAAUCCUGCUCCCUCAGCUGCUCCCCGUCACACCUGUGCUCCAGACCCCUCACAGCUCUGCUGCCAUUCUCUGGACACUUUAGGGCUGUGAUGUCUGUCUUGUAGUGGGGAGUCCAACACUGAACACAGUACUCAAGGUGAGAAGUACCAAUGUAUUAUGUUUUUCUUUAACAGUUCUUGAUCCAAAGAGGUGUUCAGUAGGAUACAGGAGGAAGUUUUUGCUCACUAGCAGUGUAAAUGUUCUUCUGAGAGGGC